rnacentral:rRNA from 1 species
UACAAAUGACUCUCGGCAACGGAUAUCUCGGCUCUUGCAUCGAUGAAGAACGUAGCGAAAUGCGAUACUUGGUGUGAAUUGCAGAAUCCCGUGAACCAUCGAGUCUUUGAACGCAAGUUGCGCCUGAAGCCAUUAGGUUGAGGGCACGCCUGCCUGGGUGUCACA